CUUUUAUAUUGAGUUCCAGUUAUAAAUAGUAGGAUGCCAGCAGGAACGACAUGGACAAGAUACCUUUUGGCUUGCUCUGCAGCUAUGUUAUCAAUGAUGGCAGGAUCCCAAACAGUUCACAUGAUUUACCAGCCUCUCUUGGAUUUGGAUGAGAAAGUGGAGCUAGAAAAAGAACGUCUCAGAAAGUUAAUGAAGCAAAGUAUGGAGGAGUCUUCCCCACCUGCUAAUGCACCCAGUUAACUAUGUCGGUGUACAUUGUCCUUAUUAUUUUGUGUAAAAAUAAAAGUAUUAUAUUUCA